UACGAAGGGGGCUAGCGUUGUUCGGAAUUACUGGGCGUAAAGCGCACGUAGGCGGACUUUUAAGUCAGGGGUGAAAUCCCGGGGCUCAACCUCGGAACUGCCUUUGAUACUGGAAGUCUUGAGUAUGGAAGAGGUAAGUGGAAUUGCGAGUGUAGAGGUGAAAUUCGUAGAUAUUCGCAGGAACACCAGUGGCGAAGGCGGCUUACUGGUCCAUUACUGACGCUGAGGUGCGAAAGCGUGGGGGAGCAAACAGG
rnacentral:rRNA from 1 species